rnacentral:rRNA from 1 species
GACGAACGCUGGCGGCAUGCCUAAUACAUGCAAGUCGAACGAGAACGGAUUAUAGCUUGCUAUAAUUGUCAGCUAAGUGGCGCACGGGUGAGUAAUGUAUAGGUAAUAUGCCUCUUACUAAGGGAUAACAAAUGGAAACGUUUGCUAAUACCUUAUACUCCUUAUUAACAGAAGUUAAUAAGGGAAAGAUUUAUUGGUAAGAGAUUAGCCUGUAUUGUAUCAGUUAGUUGGUGGGGUAAUGGCUUACCAAGACUAUGACACAUAACUGGUUUGAGAGGAUGAUCAGUCACACUGGGACUGAGACACGGUCCAGACUCCUACGGGAGGCAGCAGUGGGGAAUAUUGCACAAUGGACGAAAGUCUGAUGCAGCAACGCCGCGUGGAGGAUGACACAUUUCGGUGCGUAAACUCCUUUUAUAUGAGAAGAUAAUGACGGUAUUAUAUGAAUAAGCACCGGCUAACUCCGUGCCAGCCGCCGCCGUAA